CGAAACGGCGCUAAUACCGCAUACGUCCUGAGGGAGAAAGUGGGGGAUCUUCGGACCUCACGCUAUCAGAUGAGCCUAGGUCGGAUUAGCUAGUUGGUGGGGUAAAGGCCUACCAAGGCGACGAUCCGUAACUGGUCUGAGAGGAUGAUCAGUCACACUGGAACUGAGACACGGUCCAGACUCCUACGGGAGGCAGCAGUG
rnacentral:rRNA from 1 species